UUCCUUCAUGAAAGUUGUAGAGCUCGUCGAUACGAUCGCGUGCAUAUGCGGAACGCAAAAAUCGGAGUUCGUAUGAAUUAGUUAUGAUUUUUUUGAAAAAGUUUCCAAUUUAGUAUAAAUCUUCCAUUUUCAGAAAUUUCCGAAAAUAAAAUCAGAAUUUCCGAAAAUAGAAAAAAAGCGGCAGAUUUUCUCCCCCGACCGGAAAUCGCCUUUGAUUUUCGUUCGGCCAUUUCUUCCUCCUCCGGCCACCAAUCCUCACCAAACUUCUUCCAUUGGCUUCGUAUGGUCCUUGCGCACCUAUCUGUAGAAGCCUUGAACGGUGGCAAGGUUUGUAGCGGCGGCAUCAAGCUUGUUCCGAUUUAAGCCCGAUUUCGAGUCAACGUCGAUAUCUCGAGUUCUAGACAACGAAUAUUCUAGAUUAUUGGGCUGGUGAACUCAGAUUAAAGUUCUGAAAAAGUUUCAUGAAGGGAUCGAAGCGAUUUGUUGACGAUUUUACGUGGAACGGAGCUCUCACCGAUUCUGGAAAUUUUCCGGCGAAACCGUGUGUUCUAGGUGAUCGAUGGAUUGAUUUGACGGACGAUGCUGAAUCGUUGUUGAGCUGUUAAGAAGACGCAGCGGGAAUUUAGAGCGGGAAAUUCUGCAGGUCAGGAGAAUCAGGGCAGAGAUCGUGCGGAUUAGAGCAUUAUUUUGGUUUUACAGUGAUUGUGUAUUGUGAGGUAAGUUAUGCUCAAUUAGAGCCUUACCAAUUUACUUUAUACGAGUGAGUUGUAAAAAUUAACUCGAGGUUUGUGAGAUUUGAAAUCUGAGUGGCAUGGGUGUGUU